UUCCGGUUGAUCCUGCCGGACCUGACUGCUAUCGGAUUGAUACUAAGCCAUGCGAGUCUUUGUAGUAAUACAAGGCAUACGGCUCAGUAACGCGUAGUCAACCUACCCUAUGGACAAGAAUAAUCUCGGGAAACUGAGCAUAAUACUCGAUAGAUCAUAAUGCCUGGAAUGGUUUAUGGUUGAAACGAUUCGUCGCCAUAGGAUAGGACCGCGGCCUAUCAGCUUGUUGGUGAGGUAAUGGCCCACCAAGGCGAUUACAGGUACGGGCUCUGAGAGGAGAAGCCCGGAGAUGGGUACUGAGACAAGGACCCAGGCCCUAUGGGGCGCAGCAGGCGAGAAAACUUUGCAAUGUGCGAAAGCACGACAAGGUUAAUCCGAGUGAUUUCUGCUAAAGAAAUCUUUUGCAAGUCAUAAAACCACUAGUGAAUAAGGGGUGGGCAAGUUCUGGUGUCAGCCGCCGCGGUAAAACCAGCACCUCAAGUGGUCAGGAGGAUUAUUGGGCCUAAAGCAUCCGUAGCCGGCUCUGUAAGUUUUCGGUUAAAUCCAUGUGCUCAACACAUGGGCUGCCGAAAAUACUGCAUAGCUAGGGAGUGGGAGAGGUAGACGGUACUCGGUAGGAAGGGGUAAAAUCCUUUGAUCUAUCGAUGACCACCUGUGGCGAAGGCGGUCUACCAGAACACGUUCGACGGUGAGGGAUGAAAGCUGGGGGAGCAAACCGGAUUAGAUACCCGGGUAGUCCCAGCUGUAAACGAUGCAGACUCGAUGAUGCAUUGGCAUAUAGCCAGUGCAGUGUCGCAGGGAAGCCGUUAAGUCUGCCGCCUGGGAAGUACGUACGCAAGUAUGAAACUUAAAGGAAUUGGCGGGGGAGCACCACAAGGGGUGAAGCCUGCGGUUCAAUUGGAUUCAACGCCGGG
rnacentral:rRNA from 1 species